rnacentral:SRP_RNA from 1 species
GCCGGGCAUGGUGGCGCAUGCCUGUAAUCCCAGCUACUUAGGAGGCUGAGGCAGGAGAAUCGCUUGAAUCCAGAAGGCAGAGGUUGUAGUGAGCUGAAUCACACCACUGCACUCCAGCCUGGGUGACAGAGCGAGACUCUGUCUCAA